AAAUGUUGUCCUCACCCCACCUCGCCUCACCAUUUGCUGUCCAAACACCGCCUACUGGUGUUUCAGCCUCAGCUGCGAAGAACAAAGGGAUGGAUAAUUACAAACAGGGGAAGUAUGCUGAUGCCAUAAAGUGGCUUUCUUAGGCUGUGAUUCUUCUUGAGAAGACUUGUGAUGGUGCUAACCCUUGAUCAAAUCAACUUGGCUGAUGUCAAGUACCCACUGGAGCAUUUUAAGUUAAAGCUUUGGACUGCUGGAAACAUAUUUUUCAGAGAGAUCUGUGUUCUCAAGCCCUUUGCAUAUACACAAGUCAAAUUCACUUAUUGGUUACAGUUAGAAUGUAAAAUGAAGGAAUUUAGGGUUGGGAUUUAGGAGGAAGAAGAAGAAGAAUAAGAAGAAAGAGAAAUUUUAUAUAUAUAUUGGCGCUGUUUGGGAAGUUGGAGGAUCCAACUGAGAACAGGAGGGGAGAGAACCAUCAGAAUCACAGGGUUCCAGAGUCAGCUACGAAUGCCAAUGCCGAUGGGCAUGCCAACACGAAGACAAAUAUGAUGGAUUUGAAUAUGCAGCCACAUCAGAUACAUGAACAGGCUUCAAAUAAUCAGGUUAGAUUGUCUCCG